rnacentral:rRNA from 1 species
AACGAACGCUGGCGGCAGGCCUAACACAUGCAAGUCGAACGGGUGUAGCAAUACAUCAGUGGCGCACGGGAGAGUAACGCGUGGGAACCUACCUUUUGGUUCGGAAUAACGUCGGGAAACUGACGCUAAUAACGGAUAAGCCCUACGGGGGAAAGAUUUAUCGCCGAAAGAUGGGCCCGCGUUAGAUUAGCUUGUUGGUGAGGUAACGGCUCACCAAGGCUACGAUCUAUAGCUGGUCUAAGAGGAUGAUCAGCCUCACUGGGACUGAGACACGGCCCAGACUCCUACGGGAGGCAGCAGUGGGGAAUCUUGGACAAUGGGGGCAACCCUGAUCCAGCCAUGCCGCGUGAAUGAUGAAGGCCUUCGGGUUGUAAAGUUCUUUUGGCGGGGACGAUGAUAACGGUACCCGCAGAAUAAGCUCCGGCUAACUUCGUGCCAGCCGCCGCAGUAA